rnacentral:rRNA from 1 species
UUCCAGGCCCUACGGGGCGCAGCAGGCGCGAAAACUUCGCAAUGGGGGAAACCCCGAACGAGGGAAAGCCAAGUGCCAGCACAAUGUGCUGGCUGUUUUCCUGUCUAAAAAACAGGGAGAGUAAGGGCUGGGUAAGACGGGUGCCAGCCGCCGCGGUAAUACCUGCAGCCCAAGUGGUGCUCGUUAUUAUUGGGUCUAAAACGUCCGUAGUCGGCCAAGUAGAUGCCCGGGUAAAUCGCAGCGCUCAACGUUKCGAAUUCCGGGUAGACCGCUCGGCUAGGGAUYGGGAGAGGUGCAUAGUACUCUGGGGGUAGGGGUAAAAUCCUGUAAUCCCUGGGGGACUACCAGUGGCAGAAGGCGAUGCACUAGAACAGAGUCCGACGAUCAGGGACGAAGCCCUGGGGCGCAAACGGGAUUAGAUACCCCGGUAGUCCAGGGUGUAAACGCUGCCGGACUUGGUGUCGCGGAUCCUACGUGGGUACSCGGUGCCGGA